UACGUAGGGGGCAAGCGUUGUCCGGAAUCAUUGGGCGUAAAGCGCGCGUAGGCGGCCCGGUAAGUCCGUUGUGAAAGUCAAAGGCUCAACCUUUGAACGCCGAUGGAUACUGCCGGGCUAGAGUCCGGAAGAGGCGAGUGGAAUUCCUGGUGUAGCGGUGGAAUGCGCAGAUAUCAGGAGGAACACCAAUAGCGAAGGCAGCUCGCUGGGACGAUACUGACGCUGAGGCGCGAAAGCGUGGGGAGCGAACAGG
rnacentral:rRNA from 1 species